CCGUGUUUCUCGAGGUCACCAUGUUGGAGUACGCCUAGCUCACUAGGAGUCCCGACGUUGUCGUUGGUGACACCGACAGAACACAACAGGCAGCCCCAGUGGCGUCGUGUGUGUUUUCAAGGCACAAACGAAAAAGGUAAAAACAGUUCCUACUAAUUAGUAACAACAAGCAGCAAAGACUUAUACUGGUUGAGCGUUUUUCGGACAUUUUGCGUUCGAUUUGCCAAACUUAUCGAUUAAUUCCGUUCGCCCACUCACCUUCACGGAGCGUCUGUUUUUAUUUGGUAAUUUUUAGUGUUUCUUAUCCCACCAAAGCAAACCCACAAACCAUGUUGGGAGUCCCGAGGUGUCCUACUACAACGUUAUUUUGAGAGCUCAAAACUCAAGUUAAAGACUUAUGUGUAAGCUUUGUUUGAUAUGCAUAUUAUUUGAUCAAAAUCAAAGAAGAGCAAGACGAAGAACAUGGUGAAAAGUAACUAUUAGAAUUAGAUAACAGACCCCGAGUGCUACAUACAUACACACACAAGUACACAGAUCGCUUCGGAACAGAAUCGUAGAAUCCUUCAUUGCUCGUGCAUGCCACACAGCUGGACAGUUUUGUUUGUGAAAUUCAAGCCUCAAAAUUGUUAGUCGUAUAACAUGUCAGAUGUGUCCAGCACGCACUUUAUGAAUCCAACAGAGCCAUGCACAAACGAGCGCCAGAAAAUCCGGCAGAUUAACUAACUAUCGGGCUGGGUUGGAAAAUAAAACCUGUUCAAAACGAUACUAGCAGCAAGAAAGGCUGGGAAGUAAAGGUGUGAAAAAUCAAUACUCAAUACGAUCUACAUACCAUCCUACAAAUGAAUCCCUUCCUGCCCCAACCAGCCCACUUAAUACAUCUUACUAUCUUACAAGAAUGAAGCAACAGAAUAAGCAAGAUCAGGAGUCCUCACACCUAAACGUACUAUGCUAACUAUUCGAAUGGAAAUCAGUGAAAUGCAACACACGGCCGUUAAGGUUACGGAUGCUACGGAAGCUCGGGAAAACUAAAUUCUCGAACCACUCAUAUUCGACAAACACAAAAACUCACACAGAACGCAAGCAGAAAAUUCUACUUACAUUGUAUAAGAUAUAUUGUCAGAUGUAAAAGAAGAAAA